rnacentral:Y_RNA from 1 species
GGCCAGUCCGAAGGUGGUGAGUUAUCCCAGCUGAUUGUUCAGUCAGUCACAGAUUGAACUCCUUGUUCUACUCUUUCCCCCCUUUUCUCUACUACACUUGAUACUUGACUAGUCUAAA